rnacentral:rRNA from 1 species
GAGAUGAAGCUCGUCGCAUGCUUAACACAUGCAAGUCGAACGGCAGCACAGCAGAGCUUGCUCUGUGGGUGGCGAGUGGCGGACGGGUGAGUAAUGCAUCGGGACCUACCCAGACGUGGGGGAUAACGUAGGGAAACUUACGCUAAUACCGCAUACGUCCUACGGGAGAAAGCGGGGGACCUUCGGGCCUCGCGCGGUUGGACGGACCGAUGUUCGAUUAGCUUGUUGGUGAGGUAACGGCUCACCAAGGCGACGAUCGAUAGCUGGUCUGAGAGGAUGAUCAGCCACACUGGGACUGAGACACGGCCCAGACUCCUACGGGAGGCAGCAGUGGGGAAUAUUGGACAAUGGGCGCAAGCCUGAUCCAGCAAUGCCGCGUGUGUGAAGAAGGCCUUCGGGUUGUAAAGCACUUUUAUCAGGAGCGAAACGCUGUCGGCUAAUAUCCGGCGGAACUGACGGUACCUGAGGAAUAAGCACCGGCUAACUUCGUGCCAGCAGCCGCGGUAAUACGAAGGGUGCAAGCGUUAAUCGGAAUUACUGGGCGUAAAGCGUGCGUAAGCGGUCUGUUUAGUCUGCUGUGAAAU